CUUGGAUAGUCGCUAUAAAAUCAAUUUAUAGAGGAAAGUCCAUGCUUGCAUAGGCUGAGAUGCCUAUAGUGUUUGUGCCAAAGGAAAAAAUAACUUUGGGCUGCAUUUGCAGACGGCCAACUGCUCUCUAAGUGAAAAUAUGAGAAAAGUUGAUAAAGUGCCACAGAGACGAGUUUGUUCGGAAACGACAAAAUGAAACGCGGUAAACCCCUCAAGCAAGAAACUCAAAUUUGGUAGAGGAGCUUCUGAGUUUGAAAUGAAAAACAAAGAGGAUGUAGCAAUACAUAGAUAAAUGACUAUCCCUGCGAAAGCAGGACAGAACAUGGCUUAUAA
rnacentral:RNase_P_RNA from 1 species